UUACAAUGAUGAUCCAAAUUGCAUUUUUUCUGGCAUCUCUAAUGUUAGCGUCCUCCGGGACCCGAUGAAUAUAAUUUUUACUCUGAAA
rnacentral:snoRNA from 2 species